AGAAAGCGUAAUAGCUCACUGGUCGAGUCGGCCUGCGCGGAAGAUGUAACGGGGCUAAACCAUGCACCGAAGCUGCGGCAGCGACACUAUGUGUUGUUGGGUAGGGGAGCGUUCUGUAAGCCGUUGAAGGUGUGCUGUGAGGCAUGCUGGAGGUAUCAGAAGUGCGAAUGCUGACAUAAGUAACGAUAAAGCGGGUGAAAAGCCCGCUCG
rnacentral:rRNA from 1 species